GACGAACGCUGGCGGCGUGCUUAACACAUGCAAGUCGAACGGAAAGGCCCCCUUUUGGGGUACUCGAGUGGCGAACGGGUGAGUAACACGUGAGUAACCUACCCUUGACUUUGGGAUAACUUCAGGAAACUGGGGCUAAUACCGGAUAGGAGCUCCUGCUGCAUGGUGGGGGUUGGAAAGUUUCGGCGGUUGGGGAUGGACUCGCGGCUUAUCAGCUUGUUGGUGGGGUAGUGGCUCACCAAGGCUUUGACGGGUAGCCGGCCUGAGAGGGUGACCGGCCACAUUGGGACUGAGAUACGGCCCAGACUCCUACGGGAGGCAGCAGUGGGGAAUAUUGCACAAUGGGCGGAAGCCUGAUGCAGCAACGCCGCGUGCGGGAUGACGGCCUUCGGGUUGUAAACCGCUUUCGCCUGUGACGAAGCGUGAGUGACGGUAAUGGGUAAAGAAGCACCGGCUAACUACGUG
rnacentral:rRNA from 1 species